UACGUAGGGUGCGAAGCGUUGUCCGGAAUUAUUGGGCUUAAAGCGCGUGUAGGCGGCCCUGGCACGUCAAGUCGCUGAAAGUCCCCCGGCUCAACCGGGGAAGUGGCGUUGAUACGACCGGGCUGGAGGGGGGUAGGGGAAUCGGGACUGCACGGUGGAGCGGUGAAAUGCGUUGGAGAUCGUGAGGAACGCCCGCGGCGAAAG
rnacentral:rRNA from 1 species